GCGGACCCCUUCUGUAAGCGCGCGAUAAAGCGCGGUUUUGGAAGUCACGGUGGCCGAGUGGUUAAGGCGUUGGACUCGAAAUCCAAUGGGGUUUCCCCGCACAGGUCUGAUUACACCGAAGACCCAGGAAACAGGAUUCUCUCAUCUGGAUUUCCUUGAGGUGUACAGGGCUAGAAGGGAGUAGUCUAUUGAAACAUCAUUGCAGAUCCAGUUAGAGCCAAGGUUCUCAUAUUUAAAUAUCUGGAGAGCCAAGACCAGAAUUGACCAGCAGAGGGCAACCAACAACUAUGUUGUGAAGGGAAGAAGGCUCCAUGGUUUACAAAAUGGAGGAUCUGGACCAAGAAGGGAAAUAUGGCAGAGGUAGUUUGCUACUUGAAGUUCAUCCCUUUUACUCUCAAAUGCUUCUCUUGUAACUUUUGUGGGUGAGAGGCCGAGGCUUCAAACCUUCAUAUACAAUAGAUCAUUUUAAAUUUCUACCAUCCCCAUGUACCCACCCCAUCUCCCCAAUUCCUUCACCCUUCCUCUUCCACUCCAACAAAUCCUAACUAUUCUUUUACCUUUCUUUACCUUGCAUGAUCUGGCCCCCUCUCUCUCACCAUUCUUACAUAUUUACAUAUCACCCACUGGCAUUCUUUAGUUCCUGCUACAGUAUGUGGCCUUCCAUAUUUUCCCUGAAGUAACCUUCUCCACUUAAGCCUGUAGUCCCACUCAUUUAAACCUCCUAAGGAACCUUCCAUAAAUAUCCUUCCAUAACACCUUAAAAUUCCUCUACUCCACUGGAUCAAUCCUUCAUGAAUUCAGUACAAACAAAACCCCACCUUCAUUUGACACUUUCAAAUUUCCACAUUGUUUUCUACUUCCUUUUAUUUUUCGAAUAAAAUGUAUACCUUUCUGCCUCCAGUUCCAUACUAUCAGAUACCCCGUCAUCUGGUUUCUGCCUCCUGAAGUGUUUUGGUUUUUUUUUCUUUUUUACUUUUUUACUUUUUAUUUUUUUUUGAGACAGAGUCUUGCUCUCUCACCUAGGCUGGAGUGCAGUGGCACAAGCUCGGCUCACUGCAACCACCACCUCCCAGGUUCAAGCAAUUCUCCUGCCUCAGCCUCCCAAGUAGCUGGUAUUACAGGUCCCUGUCACCAUGCGCCUGGCUAAUUUUUUUUUUUUGUAUUUUUAGUAGGGACGGGGUUUUGCUAUGUUGACCAGGCUGGUUUUGAACUCCUGACCUCAAGUGAUCCACCUGCCUCAGCCUCCCCAAGUGCUGAGAUUACAGGUGUGAGCCACCGCGCCCGGCCUCCUGAAGUUUUUUAGACGUUAAUAGAAACCACUGGACAAAUUUAAUAAUCUCUUCUCAGUCUCCAUCCUUUCUGUGUUUGAAACAACAUUGAUUUCUUACUGGCCUUCAGAAACACUUAUUGUUUUUCUCCUUCUCAGUAUACUGCUUCUCCACCUCAUUUGCUUUCUUCUUCCUCCUGUGGAAUUUCCACCAAAGCUUCAUUCUCCCGAGACAAAAUCUCAGAGCCACCUUUCCAGGUAUGUCCUCAGCUAAACCAUGGUCCUUUAUCUCCAGCUGUUCACAUCUCUGCACAGCUGACCUAGUGUCACCUAAUAUGCAAACAAAGCUUCUCUUCCUCUCUCACAAUCAUCGUUCUGAACUUUUCCCACUUUUGUUGAUACCACUAUUCACUCAAUUCCUUCAUUUCCAGCUCUAAGAAUUAAUUAUCUGAAGUUUGUUUUCUCCCAAGCCCAUCACACUGAUUCAUCAGUUGCUUCCCCAAGCACAUCAUCUUAAUUCAUGCCUGUUACGAUGGCCUUCAAGGUGCCCUAGUUUCACCACACUGAAAUCCACCCUAUAUUAGUGUGAUUACACUGCUUUCAUCAUAUUAUUCCCCUGUCCAGGAACUCAGUUCCCCAUCUAAACAAACACAUGAUCCUAUUAUCAACAUACCCUGCCUAAAUUGCCCGUUUUUCUUACCCUUACAUCUUUCCACUAAGAUACCUUCCAUCUAAUCUGGCUGGUCAUCUCCGUGUGACAGCCCAACCCCUGCCAUCCCUCAUGAAGUUCCUUCUCUUUACUAACUAGGUAGUCUCACCAUAUAAUGAUCUUUUCAGCAAUAAAUUCUUAGAUCUUAAAAGUAUUAUUAUUUUGCCUGGACACGGUGGCUCACGCCUGUAAUUCCAGCACUUUGGGAGGCCGAGGCGGGUGGAUCACCUGAGGUCAGGAGUUUGAGACCAGCCUGGCCAACAUGGUGAAACCCCGUCUCUACUAAAAAUAAAAAAAUUAUCCGGGCAUAGUGGCGCAUGCCUGUAAUCCUAGCUACUCAGGAGGCUGGGGCACGAGAAUCGCUUGAACCCCGGAGGCAGAGGUUGCAGUGAGCCGUGAUCGCACCACUGCACUCCAGCCUGGGCGACAGAGUGAGACUUUGUCUCAAAAAAAAAAUUAGUCUCACUUUGUCGCCCAGGCUGGAGUGCAGUGGUGCGAUCAUGGCUCACUGUAUAACCUCUGCCUCCCAGGGUCAAGGGAUUCUCCUGCCUCAGCCUCCCGAGUAGCUAGGAUUAUAGGCGCACGCCACCACACCGCCUUAUUUUUGCAUUGUAGAGACAGGAUUUUACCAUGCUGCCAGGCUGGUCAUGAACUCCUGACCUCAAGUGAUCCUCUCACCUCGGCUUCCCAAAGUGCUGGGAUUACAGGCAUGAGCCACUGGGCCUGGACUUAAAAUUAUUUUUAUGUAACUAACUUUUUUUUUUUUUUUGAGACAGAGUCUCACUCUGUCUCCAGGCUGGAGUGCCGUGGCGCCAUCUCGGCUCACUGCAACCUCCGCCUCCUGGAUUCAAGUGAUUCUCCUGUCUCAGCCUCCGGAGUAGCUGGGACUAUAGGCACAUGCUACCACGCCCAGCUAAUUUUUGUAUUUUUAGUAGAGAUGAGGUUUUACCAUGUUGGCCAGGAUGGUCUCACUCUCUUAACCUCGUGAUCCACCUGCCUUGGCCUCCCAAAGUGCUGGGAUUACAGGCGUGAGCCACCGCACCGGCUGGUAAUGUUUUCUUUUUUUUUUUUGAGACAGAGUCUUGCUCUGUCACCCAGGCUGGAGUGCAGUGGCGCGAUCUU
rnacentral:lncRNA from 1 species